rnacentral:rRNA from 1 species
GACGAACGCUGGCGGCGUGCCUAAUACAUGCAAGUUGAGCGCUGAAGGUUGGUACUUGUACCAACUGGAUGAGCAGCGAACGGGUGAGUAACGCGUGGGGAAUCUGCCUUUGAGCGGGGGACAACAUUUGGAAACGAAUGCUAAUACCGCAUAAAAACUUUAAACACAAGUUUUAAGUUUGAAAGAUGCAAUUGCAUCACUCAAAGAUGAUCCCGCGUUGUAUUAGCUAGUUGGUGAGGUAAAGGCUCACCAAGGCGAUGAUACAUAGCCGACCUGAGAGGGUGAUCGGCCACAUUGGGACUGAGACACGGCCCAAACUCCUACGGGAGGCAGCAGUAGGGAAUCUUCGGCGAUGGACGAAAGUCUGACCGAGCAACGCCGCGUGAGUGAAGAAGGUUUUCGGAUCGUAAAACUCUGUUGGUAGAGAAGAACGUUGGUGAGAGUGGAAAGCUCAUCAAGUGACGUUAACUACCCAGAAAGGGACGGCUAACUACGUG